CAAAAAAAAAAAAAAAAAGUGUAGCCCUGGGGUCAUCUGUCCUAUUAACCCUGUAGGGUAGUGUUUGGUGGGAAAGAUAAACAAUUGAACGGAAUAGUGCAGGUCUAUGUGAACUAGUUGGCUGUGAGAAAUGGCUUGUUCUUUUUCCACAAUUUCCCUUUUUGCUGCAGGGGUUAGAUAUUUGGGAGAAUCCAGGUCAGCAUUGCCUUUUAAGAUAAAAAAGAGGUUUUGCAACUCUGGGGCACAGUAAGUCCAGUCCUGCACUACCAGUGGUGGAUGCUCUGAGAGAGAGGUCCAUGGGUUUUACAUCUGUCCAAGGAAAGCCACUGGCAUUGCCCCACUUGGGAGCGGGGCCUGAGAUGGGCCCCUCAUGAAGUUUCCUAUCUGAUUACUUAGAAGUUUGCCAUUUUUAUAAAAUCUGGACUUGCAUUGACUCGACCAAUGUUUCUCAUAAGCCAAUUGCAACAAUAAGAUAUCAGUAACUUGGAUGUGACUAAUUUGUUGUUUAAUUGCCUAGGUUAACAGAUUGAUAAACUCAACAAAUGGCUCUUUGUUGAAUAUGUAGAAAAGAUACCUGCUGAGUUCCACUUUUGGGAAUUCAGUCCCAAGCCCUGAGAGUACACAAAAACACUUGUGCAUAGGCCUGGGGAUCAAAAUCAAGUUGUGCAUUGGCAGGGGG